rnacentral:rRNA from 1 species
UACGGGAGGCAGCAGUGGGGAAUAUUGCACAAUGGGCGAAAGCCUGAUGCAGCUAUGCCGCGUGUAUGAAGAAGGCCUUAGGGUUGUAAAGUACUUUCAUCGGGGAGGAAAAAACAAAACUAAUAAUUUUAUUUCUUGACGUUACCCGAAAAAGAAGCACCGGCUAACUCCGUGCCAGCAGCCGCGGUAAUACGGAGGGUGCUAGCGUUAAUCAGAAUUACUGGGCGUAAAGAGCACGUAGGUGGUUUUUUAAGUCAGAUGUGAAAUCCCUGGGCUUUAACCUAGGAACUGCAUUUUGAAACUGAAAUACUAGAGUAUCGUAGAGGGAGGUAGAAUUCUAGGUGUAGCGGUGAAAUGCGUAGAUAUCUGGAGGAAUACCUGUGGCGAAAGCGGCCUCCUAAACGAAUACUGACACUGAGGUGCGAAAGCGUGGGGAGCAAACAGGGAUUAGAUACC